UGCUAGCGUUCAGAAAACCCAGA
rnacentral:piRNA from 1 species